UUUAUUAAGAGUUUGAUCCUGGCUCAGGACGAACGCUGGCGGCACGCUUAACACAUGCAAGUCGAACGAAGUUAUUUGAGCUUGCUUAGAUAACUUAGUGGCGGACGGGUGAGUAACACGUGAGCAAUCUGCCUUUCAGAGGGGGAUACCGAUUGGAAACGAUCGUUAAUACCGCAUAACAUAGUAAAUUCGCAUGUUUUUACUAUCAAAGAUUUAUCGCUGAAAGAUGAGCUCGCGUCUGAUUAGGUAGUUGGUGAGGUAACGGCCCACCAAGCCGACGAUCAGUAGCCGGACUGAGAGGUUGAACGGCCACAUUGGGACUGA
rnacentral:ncRNA from 1 species